rnacentral:rRNA from 1 species
AUAUUUUUAAAAAUUAACGUGAUAGUACAAUUAAGCAUGCUCGAGACAGAGUAGUAUUAGGAUGGGCGACCGCUAGAGAAGUCCUAGUGUUUUACAUGUC